UUCCAAUCUGGAGAAAAUGCUACCUUCAGUUUUCAGCUGAUUGGGUAUUUGGUAACAAAAGGUUAGACCCGAUCUCUAACCUCUAAUCUCAUGGGGGAUAAGUGCCCCAUGUUAACUUAACUGAAGAGACACG